GAGACCCUUGCCGAUAAUUGCUAGCUGCCCAGUGAUGGGCGGAGGCUAGUUAUCGGGACUGCCGCUGCUAAAGCGGAGGAAGGAGAGGGCCACGGCAGGUCAGUAUGCCCCGAAACUCCUGGGCCACACGCGGGCUGCAAUGGUAGGGACAGUGGGUCCCGACCUCGACAGAGGAAGGUAAUCCUCAAACCCUACCCCAGUUGUGAUUGAGGGCUGAAACCCGCCCUCAUGAAUAUGGAAUCCCUAGUAACCGCGUGUCAUCACCGCGCGGUGAAUAC
rnacentral:rRNA from 1 species